GCCUCCUCUAUGGUGACCACAGUCACCUUCUCUACCCACUCCAUCACCACGGGCCCUUCCUCAGCUGCCUCCUCUAUGGUGACCACAGUCACCUUCUCUACCCACUCCCUCACCACGGGCCCUUCCUCAGCUGCCUCCUCUAUGGUGACCACAGUCACCUUCUCUACCCACUCAAUCACCACGGGCCCUUCCUCAGCUGCCUCCUCUAUGGUGACCACAGUCACCUUCUCUACCCACUCCCUCACCACGGGCCCUUCCUCAGCUGCCUCCUCUGUGGUGACCACAGUCACCUUCUCUACCCACUCCAUCACCACGGGCCCUUCCUCAGCUGCCUCCUCUAUGGUGACCACAGUCACCUUCUCUACCCACUCCAUCACCACGGGCCCUUCCUCAGCUGCCUCCUCUAUGGUGACCACAGUCCCCUUCUCUACCCACUCCAUCACCACGGGCCCUUCCUCAGCUGCCUCCUCUAUGGUGACCACAGUCCCCUUCUCUACCCACUCCAUCACCACGGGCCCUUCCUCAGCUGCCUCCUCUAUGGUGACCACAGUCCCCUUCUCUACCCACUCCAUCACCACGGGCCCUUCCUCAGCUGCCUCCUCUAUGGUGACCACAGUCCCCUUCUCUACCCACUCCAUCACCACGGGCCCUUCCUCAGCUGCCUCCUCUAUGGUGACCACAGUCACCUUCUCUACCCACUCCAUCACCACGGGCCCUUCCUCAGCUGCCUCCUCUAUGGUGACCACAGUCACCUUCUCUACCCACUCCCUCACCACGGGCCCUUCCUCAGCUGCCUCCUCCUGGUUGGCUGACUCACAAGCCGAUACUGAAAACAAUGCAUACUAUUAAGUAAUAGACUUUUGUGGUGGAAACAAAAUGUCAUAUUUCAUUACUAUACAAUUACAAAUGUACAAAAUUACAAAUGACAUAUACAACAGUAUUUGCAAUGUUUCAAAUAAUUUGAUUACAAAUGUGACUGGGGCCUUGAAGAAACGUUUUAGGCUACUAAUUUUCAAUAACCGCGUAUGACCGCGUAUGCCUACAUCAUUGAAAAUCUACA
rnacentral:lncRNA from 1 species